AUGAACGCUAGCUACAGGCUUAACACAUGCAAGUCGAGGGGCAGCAUUUUGGUUGCUUGCAACCAAUGAUGGCGACCGGCGCACGGGUGAGUAACGCGUAUCCAACCUUCCCCUUACUCAGGAAUAGCCCGUUGAAAGACGGAUUAAUGCCUGAUGUUCUCUUUUUCCGGCAUCGGUAAUAGAGCAAAGAUUCAUCGGUAAGGGAUGGGGAUGCGUAUGAUUAGCUUGUUGGCGGGGUAACGGCCCACCAAGGCAACGAUCAUUAGGGGUUCUGAGAGGAAGGUCCCCCACACUGGAACUGAGACACGGUCCAGACUCCUACGGGAGGCAGCAGUGAGGAAUAUUGGACAAUGGAUGGAAAUCUGAUCCAGCCAUGCCGCGUGCAGGACGACGGCCCUAUGGGUCUUAAACUGCUUUUGUACGGGAGCAAUAAGUUCUACGUAUAGGAUGAUGAGAGUACCGUACGAAUAAGCAUCGGCUAACUCCGUG
rnacentral:rRNA from 1 species